AUGAAACAACAACAAGAAAACUCAGCUGCAACUCAACUCCCUCGCUUCCCUUCUUCCCACGUUCUCUCUUUAUCAACUCAUACUUACAUCCAUGCGUGGCUUGUCAGAGUUCGUCGGAUUCGUUUGCAGAUCUGGGUGUGGUUGGCAUGGAAGAAUGGAAGAAAGGUCGCGGUUGGAAUGAUGUGUGUCGAUGAACGGCGGGGUUCUGGUCACGCGAUGGGUGGGAAUCUUAUCGAAUCUCCUUCUCCUUAUUAUUUCCUUCUAAGAAUUUCAAAUUUUCACACUUUGAAAUUCUUUUGCACAUCUGGUUUCGAAGAGGUGUUGUUAUUGCGGUGGCAUCUCUAUUUUCUUCUCUUUCUCAACAACCGAAAUGGAGCUCGAAUGAUGUCAUGA